rnacentral:rRNA from 1 species
AGUGAACGCUGGCGGCGUGUCUGAUUCAUGCAAGUCGAACGCCAAAGUCCCUUCGGGGGCGAGUAGCGUGGCGAAAGGGCGAGUAAUACGUGGGUAACCUGCCCUCAAGAUGGGGAUAACCCAGCGAAAGUUGGGCUAAUACCGAAUGUGAUGUCCGGGGCGCAUGUCCUGGACAUUAAAGGCGGGGACCGCUUCGGCGGCCUGUCGCUUGAGGAGGGGCUCACGGCCUAUCAGCUAGUUGGUGAGGUAACGGCCCACCAAGGCUAUGACGGGUAGCCGACCUGAGAGGGUCUUCGGCCGCACUGGGACUGAGACACUGCCCAGACUCCUACGGGUGGCAG